AACGAACGCUGGCGGUGUGCUUAACACAUGCAAGUCGAACGAGAACGUUUCCUUCGGGGAACUAGUAAAGUGGCGCACGGGUGAGUAACACGUGAAUAAUCUGCCCUCGAGAUCGGGAUAACCUGGCGAAAGCUAGGCUAAUACCGGAUAAGACCACGUUUCAAAAGAUAUGCGGAAAAAGGAGUCUCAACCUUCGCUCGAGGAUGAGUUCGCGGACCAUUAGCUUGUUGGUGAGAUAAAAGCUCACCAAGGCUGCGAUGGAUAGCCGGCCUGAGAGGGUGACCGGCCACACUGGAACUGAGACACGGUCCAGACUCCUACGGGAGGCAGCAGUGGGGAAUAUUGCGCAAUGGGCGGAAGCCUGACGCAGCAACACCGUGUGAGCGAUG
rnacentral:rRNA from 1 species